UUAUCAAUGACUCAUUUUUUUUUUGCUCCUCUGUAGAUGUGUUCGGGAGUUUUAAAUACGUUUACCGUAAUAGUGUUAUUGUGAUCAAUGGGAUAUUGGUUUGCUAGACCAAUAAGGAAAAUAGAGGACAAUAUAUGUUUUCCUAGGUGUGAUCCAAUAGCGUGUUCCCGGUUGCAUUCGGGGCUGUGAAGCUGUAAAGCCCAGCGGCAGCGCAAAAAAUAAACCUCUAACUUGGCUGUGAUUUUACAACGGGCCGCUUGCCUGACGUCAAGAAUGUUAAAGUUGCCAAGCUGCCUAGGCUCUGUAUCCCUUAGUCGCCACGUAGGUACAAGGAGUCCUCUAGGGCGGAACCAUAUGUCGAUAAUCUAAUGAUAAUGAUUACCGUCAAAUCUUUAUUAUGUUUGUAAGCUUAUAUUUCGAGGCAAAACGUGGCGUAGCGUAUUAAAAAAAUUGUUAUUAAAAUUAUCAAAUCAAACUGAACACAUUAUACUCAUAUGAAACUCAAUAAAACCUAAAACAUAU